rnacentral:rRNA from 1 species
UACGUAGGUGACUAGCGUUGUUCGGAUUUAUUGGGCGUAAAGGGUCCGCAGGGGGCCGGCUAAGUCUGAUGUGAAAUACCAAGGCUCAACCUUGGAACUGCAUUGGAAACUGGUUGGCUAGAGCAUCGGAGAGGAGAUUGGAAUUCCUGGUGUAGCGGUGGAAUGCGUAGAUAUCAGGAGGAACACCAAAGGCGAAGGCAGAUCUCUGGACGAUUGCUGACCCUCAGGGACGAAAGCAUGGGGAUCAAACAGG